rnacentral:rRNA from 1 species
UACGUAGGUCCCGAGCGUUGUCCGGAUUUAUUGGACGUAAAGCGAGCGCAGGUGGUUUAUUAAGUCUGGUGUAAAAGGCAGUGGCUCAACCAUUGUAUGCAUUGGAAACUGGUAAACUUGAGUGCAGGAGAGGAGAGUGGAAUUCCAUGUGUAGCGGUGAAAUGCGUAGAUAUAUGGAGGAACACCGGUGGCGAAAGCGGCUCUCUGGCCUAUAACUGACACUGAGGCUCGAAAGCGUGGGGAGCAAACAGG